AAUGAACGCUGGCGGCGCGCCUAAUACAUGCAAGUCGAGCGAGAAGACGUAGCAAUACGUUUGUAAAGCGGCGAACGGGUGAGGAAUACAUGGGUAACCUACCCUCGAGUGGGGAAUAACUAGCCGAAAGGUUAGCUAAUACCGCGUACGCUCCUUGGACUUCGGUUCAGGGAGGAAAGCGAUACCGUGGGUAUCGCGCUCUUGGUUGGGCUCAUGUCCUAUCAGCUUGUUGGUGAGGAACGGCUCACCAAGGCUUCGACGGGUAGCUGGUCUGAGAGGACGAUCAGCCACACUGGCACUGCGACACGGGCCAGACUCCUACGGGAGGCAGCAGUAAGGAAUAUUGCGCAAUGGGCGAAAGCCUGACGCAGCGACGCCGCGUGGGGGAUGAAGGUCUUCGGAUUGUAAACCCCUUUUA
rnacentral:rRNA from 1 species